rnacentral:lncRNA from 1 species
UUAUGAGUGUCAAUUUUGUAUAUUAUAUUAUAUCACAUUGAACAGUACUUGGAUGUUCAUAAACAUUAGGCUUGUAUAUUGUACAAAAGGAUUAUUACUUGCCAAUCGGUUCAAUGUAUGUGAUUUAAAUCUAACCUAUUUGCCUAUAUACUCAGUUUGUUUUCAGUAAUAAAACUAAUUAUUUGUCCCUCUUAUCAUCUUAUGUAACAUUCUCCUUGUUGACUGAUGAUUUACUGAAUAUGAUCUUCACCUAAAAAAGUGUUGAUGAUGUCUCUGAUAGUCAUUCCUGUAAAAAGAGAUCAAAGGGUAAGUUUUUUAGACAAUUACAUAUUGGGGCAUAGAUGCAGUAAUAUUGAAACAGCCGUGAAUAUCGAAGGGAAUGCCAAAAUGUGGCAUAUUCAUUCAGUUACACAUCCUGGUUUUUCAAACAGCUAAAGUUUCAAGGCAUUGAUAGUUACAGAUCAGCAAUCAUUGACAUCAUUCAUGGGCAGUUAAAGUAUUGAAAUCAGAAAGGAAAGGGCAUGACAUGUUACUGAGCUUAAAAAGAAAAACUCAGAAGGCUUUUCACAUCAACAACCAGCUAUAAAAGGGCCAUAUAUCACAUACAAAAUAGGGACAGCCGCAAGAAAAUCAGAGAGAUUACACAUACAGGGUGACACACCAUAGUUACAGAGCAUUCAGAAUACACAUACACAACAAAUACCCAAAAGAGAGUGAUAUACAUUCAUAUAUCCACACAUAUCAUACAAAUCAGAGGGCACAACACAGAAUUUGUAUCUGCUCUCUAUCACACGCAUAGAGAGAAGAGAAAAGCACACAGCUAUCAGUCCUCAUACACUGACCUCACACACAUAACCGAGGACGAUUCCGGAAGCAUAUCUCACAUACACGAGAAAGGGAUAGGUUGCUGAUCAAGAACAUAGAGAUAAAGGCAAGGUUAUACACAGCAGGAAUACUGUGAGGUAAGAAGGUGUUUUUUAUUUGGUGAUCAAUCUGUCUUUUGAACUUAGACGAUAAAUUUAUAAACAAUUUUGCUUAGCCAUACAGAAUUACAUACAUCCCAUUCCCACCCAAUUGAUUUCGCAGAGACACAUAUACUGUCAUUUAACCAAAAGUAACUAAUGCUCUGUAACUACUUUAAAGCAAUGAAAUUUGUUUCUGGAUGAACAUUCAUACCAAUUGGUUUUUUUUCUCAUCAAAUUUCUAAUUACUUCACACUAUGACAAAUACGUAAAGUUAGAUUGGAAGAGGGAUAGGGUUCUUUACCAAAAUCCUUUGCCAAUAACCAACCGNNNNNNNNNNNNNNNNNNNNNNNNNNNNNNNNNNNNNNNNNNNNNNNNNNNNNNNNNNNNNNNNNNNNNNNNNNNNNNNNNNNNNNNNNNNNNNNNNNNNGGUCUGUAUGCUUCCUCACACACUAACGUUGUACACUUGAGUUUGCACACACAUAUGCCCUGUCCCGGGUAUUAGUGAUUAGGAUUUGAGAUAGAAGGGACAUCUGCUUUGCUCGUAAAUGACUUCGAGUCAUAUCUGGUAUUGGCGGAACGGACCACCCAGAUCGUUUCCGGUAUCAUGAGUUAGCGGCUUGGAGGGCUCGAUCCUUCUCGUUUCUAGCACUUUAUCCUUCACCAUUUAUAAAUUGAGAUGUUUGUCCCUAAAAAGUCUUCAUGCUUGAAUGUUUCAAGGAUGUCAUUGUACUUUGACGUCCUUGUGCCAUAAAGAUGGCUAAAUAAUUUCUAUUCCUUACCAUGGGCUAAGCGCCCUAGGGAUAAGUUUUCCAUUCCCUACCAUGGGCUCAUUUCCCUAGGGAUGAUUUUUUCAUUCCUAUCGACGGGCUCAUUGCCCUAUGGAUAUGUUCUCUUCCAUCUUAAUAAGCUCACAACUUUAUCAUUUAACUCUCGAGAUUUGGGGAUAUUCCCCAUCCUGGUUUUGUUUUAUUUAUUUAUUAUUUUCCUAUUCCUAUUAUUUUAAUUAUUUGAUUUAAUCUAAUCCUAACCUUAUUAUUCGGAAAUCUCUACAAACUUAAGAUAAAUGCUGAUUGAGUUGAACAAUUAUACAACAUAUAUGUUUAUGAUACAAAUGUGCUUUAACUUGUUAGUGAAAAGUUUUAAUAAACAAUGCACUUAUAAAAAUUCAAAAUCACCCUAUCAUAUAAUUCCAUACAUAACUAAAUCAAAAUAAAUAUUAUCACUUAAAUUCAUAUACAACUAAAAAAAGAAUAUACAAUCACACAUUUAUAUUCAUUUAUAUACAUUCAUAAUAACAAAUCAUUCAAAUGUUGCAUUUCAUGCACCAUCGUACAUGCACCACAAAAUAUCGAAAAAGAAAAAUAAAUUAGUGCAUGCAUCUUCACAUGAACUCAAAACAAAAAAAAUAACAUGUAUGCAUAUUGCAUGAAUCAAAUAUUACAUCCUCAUGACUUUCAUACAUUUCAAUCAUUCAUGUAACUCAUGCAUAAAUCAUUAUCAGAGAUACUCAUGAGUUGAAAAUUGGUUUUUAAAGGUGACAUUAUUGGACUUGACUGAAACGGUCUAAGAAGGAAGAAAAAGUCUUACUCUCGAGACUACAGAAGAUAAACCAGCUACUCAUAUUGAUACCCCAUCCCCAAAGACAUAUUUGCAAAUUUCAUAUCAUAUGGAAACCCCAGUUAACGAUGGUAACUCCAAUCAUUCCUCUAAGUCCCACAAUGUUAUGAACCCUCAAGAUUGGGAGAAGAUCAAGGCAAUCGAAGAGAGAAUUAAAGUCGUUGAGGAAGCAAGCUCCUACAGUUUGAAGGAUGUUACAAGCAUGUGUUUGGUCCCGAAUGUGAUAUUUCCACCAAAGUUCAAGAUGCCCGAAUUUGAGAAAUAUCAAGGAACUUCUUGUCCUAGGGAUCACCUAACCAUGUAUGUUAGGAAGAUGACUCCCUAUAUCGAGGAUGACAAUCUACUAAUCCAUGUCUUCCAGGAGAGCCUCACUGGAGCUGCCAUCACUUGGUAUAUGCGUCUCGAAUGUUCUCAUAUCAAAUGUUUCAAGGAUUUGUGCAACACUUUCUUUAAACAAUACAACUACAAUAUUGACCAAGAUCCUGAUAGGAUGCUACUCAAGAAGAUGUCCAAGAGAAAUGAUGAGACCUUCAGGGAGUAUGUCCAAAGAUGGGCAGGAUUGGCCGCUCAAGUGAAGCCCAAGUUGUCCGAUGAAGAGAAUGUUUCAAUGUUUAUCAACACCCUACAACCUCCCUUAUUUGAUCUGAUGAUUGGAAAUGUCUAUUCGGAUUUCCGUCAUUUGAUAACUACAGGAGAGAGAAUUGAGAAUCACUCCGAGAAUGACAAAAUUGAGAAAAACUCAGCCAACAGAAUAAUCCAAAGCGAUCUUGCAAGUGAAGAUAUGGAAGAGGAAAUCGCAUUCACAGAGACCCUCAGCCAACCUCAAAUGCCUUAUUUUCCACAAGCAUCAUGUUAUGCUUUUACAAAUGGUAAAAAAGGCGAAAGCGAAAAAGGAAGAGUUUGUAUGAUCCGAUCCCGAUGUCAUAUUCCGAGUUAUUGCCACAACUUCUUCAAAGAUCAUUGCUGACUCCUAUCCCCUCAAAGAUGGUGGAACCUCCAUACCCACAAGGAUUCAACCCAAAUGCUAAUUGUGAAUAUCAUACUGGGGCAAUUGGCCACUUCACAGAGGAUUGUGAUCAAUUAAAAAGCAAAGUGCAAUAUCUGAUUAACACCAGAUUAAUCCGCUUUCAAGGAAACGUCCUAGUUUAAGAAAUGCACAAAUCACCCCAAGUUGUCGUCUUGGCACUAGCAAAUGAUGUAAUAAANNNNNNNNNNNNNNNNNNNNNNNNNNNNNNNNNNNNNNNNNNNNNNNNNNNNNNNNNNNNNNNNNNNNNNNNNNNNNNNNNNNNNNNNNNNNNNNNNNNNUGCAAAAUAACAUAAAAAACAAAAGGAAAAAUAUACAAAAGGCCCGCUGAGAAUCCUCAAUAAAAAUUCUCAGGCAAAAGUUAGGGCAAAUAAAGUGCACUAUCAAUAUCCGCAAAAAGGAACAAUUCAAAUACCUCUCGGGAAGAUUAUCGCCUAAAUAUUAGGCAUUCACCUAUUACAUCACAAAAAUCGAACAAAAUCUUAGUACUUGAAUGUCAUGUCAGAAAAUCGUUGAAAAUAAGACUAUGGAGAAAGGAGAAUGUAGAAAGGGGUUUGGGAAACACAUUUUUGAGCCUUAUCCUUUUUUCUUGGAAACCCUUAGCCAGACCACGAUACAAGCUCAAAAGACCUUGUCGAGGAUAUGAUCUGCCUAAGAAACGUACUAGGGCAAAGAAAUGCUGACUCCAAUAAAUAUCAUAAAGUUUUGAUGAAAAUAUCUCAUUUUAAUGCAUGGAUUAAAUCUCAAUCUCUCAUCAUCACUACCCUCAUAUCAACACUCAAAACCCAAAAACAAAAAUCCAAAUUUGCUUGAUCACUGUUUUUAGUAUUUAUUUUUAAGGAGUUGUGCAUGAAGAAAACACAUGACAAGUUGGAAUCAAACGAAAGGUGUCAAUCCAAACUGGGGCAUUUUGUGGAGGCUGAUCUCAUUUCUGGAAAGAAGGUACCCAGAAACCUAUAACUGGGGUAAGACUGAAGUUAGUCAUCAUGAAUCAUUCAAAAAUCCCUCAACCAAGCGAAGGCAAGAUCUUGCAUCAUCGCCUUCAAACUUCAAAUGUGACUCAUGCUUUCAUGCACUUAUGAUUGUCACUUGAGAGUGUUCAAAAAUAUCCAAAAGAAAAAACAAGCAAAAAAAGAAAGAAAAAAGAGUGCUAGGUUGAAAACCCGCAAGGGCAACCUAAGAAAAGGAGAGCAAUGAUAAGUCGAAAAGCUUCAACGGCGACUUAGUAUCAUAAUAAAAUGAGAGAAUUCCUGACAGGUACCUACAAUAGGUAUUUUGGGUAAAAAUUAGGGGGAAAAAUGAACACCCUCAUGGGAAAAUUCACUAUUGUUCAUCCUCAACCAUGCAAACUGGGGUAAUUUAAUUGAAGAUCAUACUCUCCCAAUAAAUUCUUGACAAGAUACUGGGGCAGUUUAUUGGACGAUCAGACUCUUCCAAUAAACUCUUGACAUGACACUGAUGCAUUUAAUUGAUUCACUUAUCGUAAAUUGAGGCAGUUCUUCAAAGGAUCAAAGUCAUAUCAUAGAGCAAGCAAAUCAUCAACAAAUAUGUCAACUAAAGCCAAUCAUAAAAAGGUUGUGAAACUGAAAAGUUUUAAGGGUGAUGAAAAGUAGUUUCGAGUACAACUGAAUCAAAAAUUCAAAUCCAAUUUUUCAAACAAAAAAAACUCCAAGUCAUUUCGAGCUACCAAUUCAACAAUUCUGGUUCAUACACCACUUCAACAUGUAAACAUAACCGAAGGUCAUACAUCACUACGUUAUGCAAACUAAACCAAAUUUCAUACAUCACUCAUAACAUACAUACAUAUCACUAAAUCAAGUCAAGACAUACUCGUUUAUAGUGAGGUUAUGGUUCGAGUUGUCUCUAACUUCUCAGAAAAUGAGAAGAAGGUCUACAACGAAUACCGUCUCUGAGACUAUUAAUUAUAUAUAUAUAUAUAUACAUAAUUAAUAAACUUUGUCAUUAAAUUCUAUAUAUGUGAAUAAUUAGAAAUUAUAUUAUCAAAUUAAUUUUAGGGAUUUUAUAGUAAGGUUAUGGUUCGAGUUGUCUCUAACCUCUCUGAAAACGAGAAGAAGGUCUACAACCAACAUCGUCUCUAAACUAUUAAUUCUAUAUUAAUAACUAAUAAACUAUUUUAUCAUUCAAUUCUAUAGGCAUAAAUAAUUGAAAAUUAUAUUAUCAAAUUGAUUAAGGAAUUCUUAUAGUAAGGUUAUUGUUCGAGUUGUCUCUAACUUCUCCGAAAAUGAGAAGAAGGUCUACAACCAACACCGUCUCUAAACUAUUAAUUCUAUAUAAAUAAUCGAAAACUAUUUUACCAAAUAAAUUUCUUGAGAUUUUUAUAGUGAGGUCACGGUUCGAGUUGUCUCUAACUCGUCUGAAAAUGGGAAGAAGGUCUACGACCAAUAGCGUUUCUAAAACUAUUAGCCUCAUCGAAUCGAAACAAUUACAUAUUUUGAACAAAAUUCAAAUUAACCAAUUCAAUAAACUAAUACUUAUAAAACAUAAUGGUAUUUUCCCAAAUCACUAACAAUCAAUCAAAGUAGAAACAAUUUUUUGAACUAGAACUACGUAAGCCUUGAUCCCCUUAAUAGGGGUACGUAGGACCAAAGUCAAUAUUGUCAGGCUCAAUAAUAAAAAAUAUUAUGUUUUACUAAUUUAAUUUCUAAAUAAAUAAUUUUUAAGGGUAUAAAAGUUCAUUUGAUUAGCGAGGGUACCGUUUUAAUACGGGUGGACGGGGUGCUAGUACCUUCCCUGAUCCGUAAUCGACUCCCGAGCUCAGAAUCUCUAUUCAUAGACCAUUUUAUCCAAAUUGGGCAUAAUAAGAGUUUUCUACGUUUUAACAGCAAAAACGUAGUGGCGACUCCAAAUCAAUCGGGAGAGGUAGAAAUUACUUUUAUUGUCUCGAGUUCCGGCAGUAUCCGACCUGCGUUCUCGCAUUUACUUUUAUUGUCUCGAGUUCCAGCAGUACCCGACCUGNNNNNNNNNNNNNNNNNNNNNNNNNNNNNNNNNNNNNNNNNNNNNNNNNNNNNNNNNNNNNNNNNNNNNNNNNNNNNNNNNNNNNNNNNNNNNNNNNNNNGAGUUCCAGCAGUACCCGACCUGCGUUCUCGCAUUUACUUUUAUUGUCUCGAGUUCCGACAGUAUCCCACCUGCGUUCUCGCUUUACCUUUUCAUCAUAUCAAAUUACAGCUUUACCCAACUACUGUUCUCGAUUUUAAAUCAUAUUACGACCAUUUAUCUCGGCCUUGACAACAUUCAUGUCCAUUUCUUUACUAGUUACUUACUAUGAUAACACGCAAACCUCGGUGUGCUUGCUAUCUAGUAAGCAACAAGUAAAGAGGGGCAGCUGUGAACACUCAAUUUUGUCCGGCCACUUGUCAAAUAAAAUGCAGGAAUAUAGUUAUAGUACUUGUUAAGGAAGUGGCAAGAAGUCAAAUCCCUUUGUGACAAUAACGUCCUUGCGAACAUGAUGUUAGAUUGAGGUCAUGGAUUCAUUGUUAGAUUGAAGUCAUGGAUAAUUACAAGAAAAUAGGAUCCAUUUGUCAAUACUGGUGCUGGAAGGGACCACGCUGGAGUUUAUGUAAAAACUCUAUUAUGAGUGUCAAUUUUGUUUAUUAUAUUAUAUCACAUUGAAUAGUACUUGUAUGUUCAUAAACAUUAGGCUUGUAUAUUGUACAAAAGGAUUAUUACUUGCCAAUCGGUUCAAUGUAUGUGAUUUAAAUCUAACCUAUUUGCCUAUAUACUCAGUUUGUUUUCAGUAAUAAAACUAAUUAUUUGUCCCUCUUAUCAUCUUAUGUAACAUUCUGCUUGUUGACUGAUGAUUUACUGAAUAUGAUCUUCACCUAAAAAAGUGUUGAUGAUGUCUCUGAUAGUCAUUCCUGUAAAAAGAGAUCAAAGGGUAAGUUUUUUAGACAAUUACAUAUUGGGGCAUAGAUGCAGUAAUAUUGAAACAGCCGUGAAUAUCGAAGGGAAUGCCAAAAUGUGGCAUAUUCAUUCAGUUACUCAUCCUGGUUUUUCAAACAGCUAAAGUUUCAAGGCAUUGAUAGUUACAGAUCAACCAUCAUUGACAGCAUUCAUGGGCAGUUAAAGUAUUCAAAUCAGAAAGGAAAGGGCAUGACACGUUACUGAGCUUAAAAAGAACAACUCAGAAGGCUUUUCACAUCAAUAACCAGCUAUAAAAGGGCCAUAUAUCACAUACAAAAGAGGGACAGCCGCAAGAAAAUCAGAGAGAUUACACAUACAGGGUGACACACCAUAGUUACAGAGCAUUCAGAAUACACAUACACAACAAAUACCCAAAAGAGAGUGAUAUACAUUCAUAUAUCCACACAUAUCAUACAAAUCAGAGGGCACAACACAGAAUUUGUAUCUGCUCUCUAUCACACGCAUAGAAAGAAGAGAAAAGCACACAACUAUCUGUCCUCAUACACUGACCUCACACACAUAACCGAGGACGAUUCCGGAAGCAUAUCUCACAUACACGAGAAAGGGAUAGGUUGCUGAUCAAGAACAUAGAGAUAAAGGUAAUCACGGCAAGGUUAUACAUAGGAAUGCUGUCAGGUAAGGAGGUGUUUUUUAUUUGGUGAUCAAUCUGUGUUUUGAACUUAGACGAUAAAUUUAUAAACAAUUUUGCUUAGCCAUACAGAAUUACAUACAUCCCAUUCCCAUUCAAUUGAUUUCGCAGAGACACAUAUACUGUCAUUUAACCAAUAACAAAAGUAACUAAUGCUAUAUAACUACUUUAAAGCAGUGAAAUUUGUUUCUGGAUGAACAUUCAUACCAAUUGGUUUUUUUUCUCAUCAUAUUGCUAAUUACUUCACACUAUGACAAAUAUGUAAAGUUAGAUUGGAAGAGGGAUAGGGUUCUUUACCAAAAUCCUUUGCCAAUAACCAACCGUGGAGUCAUGAUUACACUGUUUUCAUUGCGGAAUUAAUGCCAUCAUUCGCCGACCUUGUUGGUGUCCUCCCUAUGCUUUAAAGGAGACUUUGUUAGANNNNNNNNNNNNNNNNNNNNNNNNNNNNNNNNNNNNNNNNNNNNNNNNNNNNNNNNNNNNNNNNNNNNNNNNNNNNNNNNNNNNNNNNNNNNNNNNNNNNAAAACAUAAUGGUAUUUUCCCAAAUCACUAACAAUCAAUCAAAGUAGAAACAAUUUUUUGAACUACAACUACGUAAGCCUUGAUCCCCUUAAUAGGGGUACGUAGGACCAAAGUCAAUAUUGUCAGGCUCAAUAAUAAAAAAUAUUAUAUUUUACUAAUUUAAUUUCUAAAUAAAUAAUUUUUAAGGGUAUAAAAGUUCAUUUGAUUAGCGAGGGUACCGUUUUAAUACGGGUGGACGGGGUGCUAGUACCUUCCCUGAUCCGUAAUCGACUCCCGAGCUCAGAAUCUCUAUUCAUAGACCAUUUUAUCCAAAUUGGGCAUAAUAAGAGUUUUCUACGUUUUAACAGCAAAAACGUAGUGGCGACUCCAAAUCAAUCGGGAGAGGUAGAAAUUGAGUUCGCCUCCUCCCAAGUCGCAGAGCCGGUCUUCCAACCGAAAAUCGGGUCGCGACAAAAUGCAUAAAAUAUUCACUCAUAUUGUUAAUCAUUUAAUUGCUUUAGAUAAGAGUUUUGCUAUUGGUGAACUUACUAACAAAGUAUUACAUUGUCUUGAUAGAAAAUGGCAGCCAAAGGUAACAACAAUAAUGGAGUCGAAAGACUUAGACACCAUGCCUCUAGCAACUCUCUUUCGCAAACUCCAAGAGCACGAAAUGGAGUUGGGACACUUAACAAUGCAUGAAGAUUCAGACCGAAAGAGAAAGGGAAUCUCUCUAAAAGCUACAUCAUCACAACAACAAGAAGAGAAAGAUGAUGAUGAAGAUUCCAAGUUUGAAUUGGAUGAUGAAACCUUAACUCUUCUAGUUAGAAAAUUUGGCAAAUUUCUCAUGAAGAAAGGAGGGUUCAAGCAUUUUCAAAAGUAAGAGGCGAGUGAUUCAACCAAAAGAGGCAAAGUUCCCAAAGAUCGCCUCAUUUUCCAUGAGUGUGGCAAACCGGGCCAUAUGAAAUACUAAUGCCCAAGUCACCUCAAGAAGGUUGAACAUGAUAAGAGCAAUCCCCGGAACUUUAAAUCCAAGAAGGCCUACAUAGUAUGGGAUGUACCUCUAUUAUGAGUGUCAAUUUUGUUUAUUAUAUUAUAUCACAUUGAAUAGUACUUGUAUGUUCAUAAACAUUAGGCUUGUAUAUUGUACAAAAGGAUUAUUACUUGCCAAUCGGUUCAAUGUAUGUGAUUUAAAUCUAACCUAUUUGCCUAUAUACUCAGUUUGUUUUCAGUAAUAAAACUAAUUAUUUGUCCCUCUUAUCAUCUUAUGUAACAUUCUCCUUGUUGACUGAUGAUUUACUGAAUAUGAUCUUCACCUAAAAAAGUGUUGAUGAUGUCUCUGAUAGUCAUUCCUGUAAAAAGAGAUCAAAGGGUAAGUUUUUUAGACAAUUACAUAUUGGGGCAUAGAUGCAGUAAUAUUGAAACAGCCGUGAAUAUCGAAGGGAAUGCCAAAAUGUGGCAUAUUCAUUCAGUUACACAUCCUGGUUUUUCAAACAGCUAAGUUUCAAGGCAUUGAUAGUUACAGAUCAGCCAUCAUUGACAGCAUUCAUGGGCAAUUAAAGUAUUGAAAUCAGAAAGGAAAGGGCAUGACAUGUUACUGAGCUUAAAAAGAAAAACUCAGAAGGCUUUUCACAUCAACAACCAGCUAUAAAAGGGCCAUAUAUCACAUACAAAAUAGGGACAGCCGCAAGAAAAUCAGAGAGAUUACACAUACAGGGUGACACACCAUAGUUACAGAGCAUUCAGAAUACACAUACACAACAAAUACCCAAAAGAGAGUGAUAUACAUUCAUAUAUCCACACAUAUCAUACAAAUCAGAGGGCACAACACAGAAUUUGUAUCUGCUCUCUAUCACACGCAUAGAAAGAAGAGAAAAGCACACAACUAUCUGUCCUCAUACACUGACCUCACACACAUAACCGAGGACGAUUCCGGAAGCAUAUCUCACAUACACGAGAAAGGGAUAGGUUGCUGAUCAAGAACAUAGAGAUAAAGGUAAUCACGGCAAGGUUAUACAUAGGAAUGCUGUCAGGUAAGGAGGUGUUUUUUAUUUGGUGAUCAAUCUGUGUUUUGAACUUAGACGAUAAAUUUAUAAACAAUUUUGCUUAGCCAUACAGAAUUACAUACAUCCCAUUCCCAUUCAAUUGAUUUCGCAGAGACACAUAUACUGUCAUUUAACCAAUAACAAAAGUAACUAAUGCUAUAUAANNNNNNNNNNNNNNNNNNNNNNNNNNNNNNNNNNNNNNNNNNNNNNNNNNNNNNNNNNNNNNNNNNNNNNNNNNNNNNNNNNNNNNNNNNNNNNNNNNNNAAUGCCCAAGUCACCUCAAGAAGGUUGAACAUGAUAAGAGCAAUCCCCGGAACUUUAAAUCCAAGAAGGCCUACAUAGUAUGGGAUGUACCAGAGGACGAAACAACAACUAGCACAUUCGAUGAAGAGGAGACCGCUAAAUUAUGCUUAAUGGCAAAUACUCAAGAAAUUGGCAGCACAAGCGAUCUGAAUGACACGAGUGAGGUACACUAUUAUUAAUCUUCUUCGUGUUCUGAUGAGUCUCCUACUUAAGAUGAACUGUAAAGUGCAUUUGUUGAGUUACACGAGGAGAUAAAGAAACUAGCAAAGGUAAAUAUAUAUAGGAAACGAGUCACCAUAUUGCAUGAAAGUAAAAUAACUAAAAUGCAAGAGGAAUUGAAUGAAUUAAAACUAGAAAAUGAGACUCUAGAUCUUAUUUACUCUUCUGCAUCAUGUAGUUGCACCACUAAAUUAAUUGAGACUCCUAUAUGUAAUCAAUGCGAUGUUCUGAAUGCUGAAAUUUCUGAUUUAAAAGAUAAAUUAGCAAAGUUCACGAAGGGAAUGCCAAAAUGUGGCAUAUUCAUUCAGUUACUCAUCCUGGUUUUUCAAACAGCUAAAGUUUCAAGGCAUUGAUAGUUACAGAUCAACCAUCAUUGACAGCAUUCAUGGGCAGUUAAAGUAUUCAAAUCAGAAAGGAAAGGGCAUGACACGUUACUGAGCUUAAAAAGAACAACUCAGAAGGCUUUUCACAUCAAUAACCAGCUAUAAAAGGGCCAUAUAUCACAUACAAAAGAGGGACAGCCGCAAGAAAAUCAGAGAGAUUACACAUACAGGGUGACACACCAUAGUUACAGAGCAUUCAGAAUACACAUACACAACAAAUACCCAAAAGAGAGUGAUAUACAUUCAUAUAUCCACACAUAUCAUACAAAUCAGAGGGCACAACACAGAAUUUGUAUCUGCUCUCUAUCACACACAUAGAAAGAAGAGAAAAACACACAGCUAUCAUUCCUCAUACACUGACCUCACACACAUAACCGAGGAUGAUUCCGGAAGCAUAUCUCACAUACACGAGAAAGGGAUAGGUUGCUGAUCAAGAACAUAGAGAUAAAGGUAAUCACAGCAAGGUUAUACACAGGAACACUGUCAGGUAAGAAGGUGUUUUUUAUUUGGUGAUCAAUCUGUGUUUUGAACUUAGACGAUAAAUUUAUAAACAAUUUUGCUUAGCCAUACAGAAUUACAUACAUCCCAUUCCCAUUCAAUUGAUUUCGCAGAGACACAUAUACUGUCAUUUAACCAAUAACAAAAGUAACUAAUGCUAUAUAACUACUUUAAAGCAGUGAAAUUUGUUUCUGGAUGAACAUUCAUACCANNNNNNNNNNNNNNNNNNNNNNNNNNNNNNNNNNNNNNNNNNNNNNNNNNNNNNNNNNNNNNNNNNNNNNNNNNNNNNNNNNNNNNNNNNNNNNNNNNNNAAGGCCUACAUAGUAUGGGAUGUACCAGAGGACGAAACAACAACUAGCACAUUCGAUGAAGAGGAGACCGCUAAAUUAUGCUUAAUGGCAAAUACUCAAGAAAUUGGCAGCACAAGCGAUCUGAAUGACACGAGUGAGGUACACUAUUAUUAAUCUUCUUCGUGUUCUGAUGAGUCUCCUACUUAAGAUGAACUGUAAAGUGCAUUUGUUGAGUUACACGAGGAGAUAAAGAAACUAGCAAAGGUAAAUAUAUAUAGGAAACGAGUCACCAUAUUGCAUGAAAGUAAAAUAACUAAAAUGCAAGAGGAAUUGAAUGAAUUAAAACUAGAAAAUGAGACUCUAGAUCUUAUUUACUCUUCUGCAUCAUGUAGUUGCACCACUAAAUUAAUUGAGACUCCUAUAUGUAAUCAAUGCGAUGUUCUGAAUGCUGAAAUUUCUGAUUUAAAAGAUAAAUUAGCAAAGUUCACGUAUAGCAGUUAUAAUCUGAACAACCUACUUGCUGCAUCUAGAAAUGUAGGUAAUCAUGGAGGCCUAGACUAUAAACCAAAGAAUAAGAGAAAACCAUAUAGAAGGCAAGUGGCUCACAUGCAUAAUAGGUCUAAUCAUAACAUGCCUACUUGUUUUUUAACCAGCUAUAAAAGGGCCAUAUAUCACAUACAAAAGAGGGACAGCCGCAAGAAAAUCAGAGAGAUUACACAUACAGGGUGACACACAUGGCAAAUAUAUAUGGAUGCAAAAAGGGCAAGACUAUUUGAUUACUAACAAGAAAGGAUCCAAUAUAACUUGGGUACCAAAACAAGGCAAGUAAAUUGUUUUGUAGGUAUGCCUUCGGACUCUAAGAAGAGAAAAGCACACAACUAUCUGUCCUCAUACACUGACCUCACACACAUAACCGAGGACGAUUCCGGAAGCAUAUCUCACAUACACGAGAAAGGGAUAGGUUGCUGAUCAAGAACAUAGAGAUAAAGGUAAUCACGGCAAGGUUAUACAUAGGAAUGCUGUCAGGUAAGGAGGUGUUUUUUAUUUGGUGAUCAAUCUGUGUUUUGAACUUAGAUGAUAAAUUUAUAAACAAUUUUGCUUAGCCAUACAGAAUAACAUACAUCCCAUUCCCAUUCAAUUGAUUUCGCAGAGACACAUAUACUGUCAUUUAACCAAAAGUAACUAAUGCUAUAUAACUACUUUAAAGCAGUGAAAUUUGUUUCUGGAUGAACAUUCAUACCAAUUGGUUUUUUUUCUCAUCAUAUUGCUAAUUACUUCACACUAUGACAAAUAUGUAAAGUUAGAUUGGAAGAGGGAUAGGGUUCUUUACCAAAAUCCUUUGCCAAUAACCAACCGNNNNNNNNNNNNNNNNNNNNNNNNNNNNNNNNNNNNNNNNNNNNNNNNNNNNNNNNNNNNNNNNNNNNNNNNNNNNNNNNNNNNNNNNNNNNNNNNNNNNAAGGCCUACAUAGUAUGGGAUGUACCAGAGGACGAAACAACAACUAGCACAUUCGAUGAAGAGGAGACCGCUAAAUUAUGCUUAAUGGCAAAUACUCAAGAAAUUGGCAGCACAAGCGAUCUGAAUGACACGAGUGAGGUACACUAUUAUUAAUCUUCUUCGUGUUCUGAUGAGUCUCCUACUUAAGAUGAACUGUAAAGUGCAUUUGUUGAGUUACACGAGGAGAUAAAGAAACUAGCAAAGGUAAAUAUAUAUAGGAAACGAGUCACCAUAUUGCAUGAAAGUAAAAUAACUAAAAUGCAAGAGGAAUUGAAUGAAUUAAAACUAGAAAAUGAGACUCUAGAUCUUAUUUACUCUUCUGCAUCAUGUAGUUGCACCACUAAAUUAAUUGAGACUCCUAUAUGUAAUCAAUGCGAUGUUCUGAAUGCUGAAAUUUCUGAUUUAAAAGAUAAAUUAGCAAAGUUCACGUAUAGCAGUUAUAAUCUGAACAACCUACUUGCUGCAUCUAGAAAUGUAGGUAAUCAUGGAGGCCUAGACUAUAAACCAAAGAAUAAGAGAAAACCAUAUAGAAGGCAAGUGGCUCACAUGCAUAAUAGGUCUAAUCAUAACAUGCCUACUUGUUUUUAUUAUGGUAAAUAUGGUCAUACAUCUAUAUCAUGCUAUAUUAGAAAAUAUGGAGUGCCUAAUGGCAAAUAUAUAUGGAUGCAAAAAGGGCAAGACUAUUUGAUUACUAACAAGAAAGGAUCCAAUAUAACUUGGGUACCAAAACAAGGCAAGUAAAUUGUUUUGUAGGUAUGCCUUCGAACUGAGGGACAACAUUGGUACUUGGACAGUGGAUGUUCGAGGCAUAUGACGGUGACAGAUCAAAGUUCCUGGAUCUCUCACUCAACGGUAAAGGUUAUGUCACUUAUGAAGACAACAAUAGAGGAAGGAUACUAGGUAUUAGAAGAAUUGGAAAUGCUUCACAAGCCAUAAUUGAGAACAUGUUGUUAGGAAUGCUGUCAGGUAAGGAGGUGUUUUUUAUUUGGUGAUCAAUCUGUGUUUUGAACUUAGAUGAUAAAUUUAUAAACAAUUUUGCUUAGCCAUACAGAAUAACAUACAUCCCAUUCCCAUUCAAUUGAUUUCGCAGAGACACAUAUAAAAGGACUAGAGCACAACCUACUAAAAAUUAGCCUGUUGUGCAACAAAGGUAAUAAGGUGCCCUGGAAAAUGCACACACAAAGAACAUGGAAAUCGAGAAGGAGGUUCAGGAUGACCAGGAAAAAAGUUCAGAUCAUCAAGAAAUGCCAAUGGUGUGGAAGACAAAGAAAGAUCAUCCGCUCGACAAGGUUGUAGGUGAUAUCUCAACGGGAGUGGUAACCCAUAACUCCUUGUGAAACUUUUGUAAUUUUGUAGCAUUUGUGUCUCAAGAAGAGCUAAACCAGUUUGAGCAUAAUAACGAAUGGGACUUGGUCCCUAAACCUAAAGAUCAUCCUAUAAUAGGCACUAUUACACUGUUUUCAUUGCGGAAUUAAUGCCAUCAUUCGCCGACCUUGUUGGUGUCCUCCCUAUGCUUUAAAGGAGACUUUGUAAAUAAGGCAUGUCUAGUUGCCAAAGGGUAUAAUCAAGAAGAAAGCAUCGACUAUGAUGAAACCUACGCCCUUGUUGCGAGGUUGGAGGCUAUCUAAAUGUUACUAGACUUUGGUUUCAGUUUUGACAAGGUAGGAAUUGUUUUGUGUGUUUUUUUACUUGAUACAAGAAAUAAAAUUUUGACUUACACAAGACUCAAUUCUUCAAGCCACCGUGAUAAUUGGUGUUCCCCACCGUGACUCCACCUUCACCAAUCGAACCACCAUAAGCCGCCGUACUAGUAGGAACCAGAAUCGGA